CUUGCGGCCUUGUGAAGCAGCUCCUCGCAGCAGCUCCUGCUUGUGGGCUCAACAAGGACGCAGAAAGUAUCUCCCGAGAAUGAAAAGGCGUGACUUCUCGAGGUCUCAGGAGUUUCACGUGCGAUGUUUCUUGGACACGCUCCUGCUUUCCACGGUGGCGAUGGGCUCCUCCUGUAGCCAUCGCCGUUCUUGAGGCAGGUAUAGUAAAGCUGAUCAGCCAGAUAUUGUUUGAAGCGGGGAAAGCUGUUCCUGUCAGACACUGUCGGCUGUCACAUUA